CCUGCAUGCUUGAACAUGCUUGGGGAAAGACCACAACAGGGGGACUGUGGCCAUGGUUGACUCAUAAUGGGACAUCAGUGAGGGACUGGGGUUCAUGGACAACCCACAUUGGGAAAGGGAAGCUGAGGAACAUGGCAGGAAACCUUAACCAUCGAGGGUUAGAACAAGUUUCACUGCUUCAGCCUCCUAUGCAACCGUGCCUCACUGGAGGAAUUUUGGUGCACUGAGAUCAAAAAAAGGCAAAAGUCCAAGUCUGGAUUAAUCAUAUGGGCACUAGUCUGUACACAUCUGCAAGUUCAUUCAGUCCAGUGUUAAGGUGUUGGGAAGGAAAAGAAGGAAGCAUCUGUCUAGCAUGAAAACUGUAAGGAUGAUAUUGGGAAAUGCGAGAUGCAGUCACAAGGUAGAAUAAUUUACUGGAAUCUCACCUAUCCCUCCUGGUCUUGACUGCAGAUUUACAGUUCCGCCUUCUCUGCCACCUUCUUCCAGUGCUGCAGUGAUUUUGCCAUGCUGGUGAGGGGAGUGCACAGGAGGCUGGGAGGAGACACAGCUGGGACAGGUGACCCAGACUGACCAAAGGCAUAUUGCAGACCAUGUGACAUCAUCCUGAGUAUAAGGGGAAGUAGAAGAAGGGGGAAUGUUUGGAGUGAUGGUGUUUGUCUUCCCAAGUCACUGUUACAUGCAAUGAGGCCCUGCCCUCCUGGAGACGGCUGAACACCUGCCCAACCAAGGGAUGCAGUGAAUUAAUUCCUGGUCUUACUUUGCAUGUGUGCAUGGCUUUUGCUUUCCUUAUUAAACUUUAUCUCAGCCUAUGAGUUUUCUCACUUUGAGCCUUCCAGCUGUCUGCCCUAACCUGCUGGUGGGGGAGUGAGCCAGUGGCUGU